CAUGCUGAAACACUGGUUCUGGUAUGAUCACUGAAAUUAAGCAAUGUCAAGACUGGUCAGUACUUAGAUGGGUGACCACUUGGGAAUACCUGAUGCUGUAAG